AGCAGCCGCGGUAAUUCCAGCUCCAAUAGCGUAUAUUAAAGUUGUUGCAGUUAAAAAGCUCGUAGUUGAAUUUCGGGAUCAAUUUAUUGGUCGUGCUAUUGUACGUACUGGUAUUAUUGAUUCCUACCUUCUGACGAACCAUGAUGUCAUUAAUUUGGUGUCAUGGGGAAUCAGGACUGUUACUUUGAAAAAUUAGAGUGUUUAAAGCAGGCUCACGCUUGAAUACAUUAGCAUGGAAUAACGAAAUAGGACGUUUGAUUCUAUUUUGUUGGUUUCUAGGAUCGACGUAAUGAUUAAUAGGGAUAGUUGGGGGCAUUAGUAUUCAAUUGUCAGAGGUGAAAUUCUUGGAUUUUAUUGAAGACUAACUACUGCGAAAGCAUUUUGCCAAGGAUGUUUUCAUUAAUCAAGAACGAAAGUUAGGGGAUCGAAGACGAUCAGAUACCGUCGUAG
rnacentral:rRNA from 1 species